UACGUAGGGGGCAAGCGUUGUCCGGAUUCAUUGGGCGUAAAGAGCUUGUAGGCGGUUCGGCAAGUCGGGUGUGAAAACUCCAGGCUCAACCUUGAGACGCCACCCGAUACUGCUGUGACUUGAGUCCGGUAGGGGACCACGGAAUUCCUGGUGUAGCGGUGAAAUGCGCAGAUAUCAGGAGGAACACCGGUGGCGAAGGCGGUGGUCUGGGCCGGCACUGACGCUGAGAAGCGAAAGCGUGGGGAGCGAACAGG
rnacentral:rRNA from 1 species